UUCGUAGGUGACCUGCGGAAGGAUCAUUACAAGUGAGGCUACCGAACGUUGGAAACAGCGGUUAGGAGCUUACACCCACCCGUGUUUACAUACUAUUGUUGCUUUGGCGGGCCGUGGCCUCCACUGCGGGCUCUGCUCGUGUGUGCCCGCCAGAGAACCAAACUCUGAAUGUUAGUGAUGUCUGAGUACUAUCUAAUAGUUAAAACUUUCAACAACGGAUCUCUUGGUUCUGGCAUCGAUGAAGAACGCAGCGAAAUGCGAUAAGUAAUGUGAAUUGCAGAAUUCAGUGAAUCAUCGAAUCUUUGAACGCACAUUGCGCCCUGUGGUAUUCCGCAGGGCAUGCCUGUUCGAGCGUCAUUUAACCACUCACGCCUAGCGUGGUAUUGGGGCACGCGGUCUCCGCGGCCCUCAAAAUUAGUGGCGGCGCCGGUGGGCUCUAAGCGUAGUACAUACUCCCGCUAUAGAGUUCCCCCCGGUGGCUCGCCAGAACCCCCAAUUUUUUACAGGUUGACCUCGGAUCAGGUAGGGAUACCCGCUGAACUUAAGCAUAUCAAUAAGCGGAGGAAAAGAAACCAACAGGGAUUACCUCAGUAACGGCGAGUGAAGCGGUAACAGCUCAAAUUUGAAAGCUGCCAACAGGCCGCGUUGUAAUUUGUAGAAGCUGCUUUGGGUGUCGGCCCGGUCUAAGUUCCUUGGAACAGGACGUCAUAGAGGGUGAGAAUCCCGUAUGUGAUCGGUGCCGUUGCCCGUGUAAAGCGCUUUCGACGAGUCGAGUUGUUUGGGAAUGCAGCUCAAAAUGGGUGGUAAAUUUCAUCUAAAGCUAAAUAUUGGCCAGAGACCGAUAGCGCACAAGUAGAGUGAUCGAAAGAUGAAAAGCACUUUGGAAAGAGAGUUAAACAGUACGUGAAAUUGUUGAAAGGGAAGCGCUUGCAACAGACU
rnacentral:rRNA from 1 species